UCUCUGUCCCCUGUGUCGUGUGGACAGAGAGAAUGAGGUGAGUUAAACAACAGACACUGCUCUCUGUCCCCUGUGUCGUGUGGACAGAGAGAAUGAGGUGAGUUAAACAACAGACACUACUCUCUGUCCCCUGUGUCGUGUGGACAGAGAGAAUGAGGUGAGUUAAACAACAGACACUACUCUCUGUCCCCUGUGUCGUGUGGACAGAGAGAAUGAGGUGAGUUAAACAACAGACACUACUCUCUGUCCCCUGUGUCGUGUGGACAGAGAGAAUGAGGUGAGUUAAACAACAGACACUGCUCUCUGUCCCCUGUGUCGUGUGGACAGAGAGAAUGAGGUGAGUUAAACAACAGACACUACUCUCUGUCCCCUGUGUCGUGUGGACAGAGAGAAUGAGGUGAGUUAAACAACAGACACUGCUCUCUGUCCCCUGUGUCGUGUGGACAGAGAGAAUGAGGUGAGUUAAACAACAGACACUACUCUCUGUCCCCUGUGUCGUGUGGACAGAGAGAAUGAGGUGAGUUAAACAACAGACACUACUCUCUGUCCCCUGUGUCGUGUGGACAGAGAGAAUGAGGUGAGUUAAACAACAGACACUACUCUCUGUCCCCUGUGUCGUGUGGACAGAGAGAAUGAGGUGAGUUAAACAACAGACACUGCUCUCUGUCCCCUGUGUCGUGUGGACAGAGAGAAUGAGGUGAGUUAAACAACAGACACUACUCUCUGUCCCCUGUGUCGUGUGGACAGAGAGAAUGAGCCAAUGCUCUCUGCAUAAUGUUCUCUGUAGAUCAGAGUAGAGGUACGCUAAGCCCAAAGCUUAUAAGUAUGAGAAGUAUUUUCUUGUGCAAGGAUCUGUAUUGGGAUAGGACAGCCUGAGGAAGUACUUAGAACCAGGGUAUGCCAUGUUUAUGAAUAGCAUUAGCAUCAAACAGCCUUCAGGGUUUAGAGUGUUAGCGGGAGUCAGUGUUAGAGGGAUGAGGGAGGGUCUGUGC